UCCAUGGAGGACUAGUGGUUAGUCCUCAGUACUCUCACCACCGCAGCCUGGGUUCGAAUCCCUGCCAGGGAA
rnacentral:tRNA from 1 species